rnacentral:rRNA from 1 species
AACGAACGUUAGCGGCGCGCUUAACACAUGCAAGUCGAACGAGAAAGGGCUUCGGCCCCGGUAAAGUGGCGCACGGGUGAGUAACACGUGGGUAACCUUCCCUUGAGCGGGGGAUAACAU